UACAGAGGGUACAAACGUUGCUCGGAAUCACUGGGCUUAAAGCGCACGUAGGUGGUUCGGUAAGUGCGAUGUGAAAGCCCCCGGCCCAACCGGGGAACUGCAUCGCAGACUGCCGAGCUUGAGAGCGGUAGGGGAGACUAGAACUCCUGGUGGAGCGGUGAAAUGCGUAGAUAUCAGGAGGAAUACCGGUGGCGAAGGCGAGUCUCUGGUCCGCUUCUGACACUUAGGUGCGAAAGCUAGGGGAGCAAACGGG
rnacentral:rRNA from 1 species